rnacentral:rRNA from 1 species
GUGGGGAAUAUUGCACAAUGGGCGCAAGCCUGAUGCAGCGACGCCGCGUGAGGGAUGACGGCCUUCGGGUUGUAAACCUCUUUCAGUAGGGACGAAGCGGAAGUGACGGUACCUACAGAAGAAGCACCGGCCAACUACGUGCCAGCAGCCGCGGUAAUACGUAGGGUGCGAGCGUUGUCCGGAAUUACUGGGCGUAAAGAGCUCGUAGGUGGUUUGUCGCGUUGUUCGUGAAAACCUGAGGCUUAACCUUGGGCGUGCGGGCGAUACGGGCAGACUGGAGUACUGCAGGGGAGACUGGAAUUCCUGGUGUAGCGGUGGAAUGCGCAGAUAUCAGGAGGAACACCGGUGGCGAAGGCGGGUCUCUGGGCAGUAACUGACGCUGAGGAGCGAAAGCGUGGGGAGCGAACAGGAUUAGAUACCCCGGUAGUCC